UACGUAGGAGGCAAGCGUUGUCCGGAUUUACUGGGCGUAAAGAGCGUGUAGGCGGCAUGGCAAGUCUGCUGUGAAAGCUCUCGGCUUAACCGGGAGAGGUCGGUGGAAACUGCCAGGCUAGAGGACGGUAGAGGGGGGGUGGAAUUCCCGGUGUAGUGGUGAAAUGCGUAGAUAUCGGGAGGAACACCAGUGGCGAAGGCGGCCCCCCUGGGCCGCUCCUGACGCUGAGACGCGAAGGCUAGGGUAGCGAACGGG
rnacentral:rRNA from 1 species